GACGACGAUUUCACAACUUUGGAGUUUUGGCCGGAAUCUGGAAUUCUGGUGCUGGAAUUUACAGUCACUUUAUUUGCUUCAUGUGCGAAAUCCGACUGUUCAUCAUGUACGGGAUUCAGACCAGAAAUAGCCCUAAAUCUUAUGCACGUGAUGGAACUGGUCUUGUGUCAAUCCGAUGCGCGAGCGUAUUGAUUUGGCUACUAGAGUGAGGCGUGUCGCUGCUGAUUUUCCUGCAACUUUCUUCACGGAUCAGCAACUUCUCUCUAGCUUUUCUUCAUGCUCGGGCAUCGUCACGGGGCGUGCCACAUAUCAAAACGCU
rnacentral:lncRNA from 1 species